UGGGUUCUGAGGUUUGAAAAGACAGAACGCCAGCGUGGGAUCCAUCCAGCCGCCAGUGCAUCCAUCCAAACCACAAACCGAGAGCAAGGCGGAGGAAAAGAGAGAAAGAGAAGGGAAAAAAAAAAACAAUAAGCACGGAGGAAAUGAGAAAAAAAGCCGAAGAAAUUAAGAGAUUGCGAGUCGGAUCUUUCCUCUCUUUCCCCCGUAGGUAUUUCGUCUAUCUGGCGAGAGUGAGAUGAGUGAGUGUCAGCGAGUGUUGGCAGGUUGGCUGCUAGCUUGCUUAUAGAAACAGAGUCAGUUCGCAGCGCUGAGCGGUGGGCGAGUGAAA